UCAAGCAGCCCCCUGAAGUUUUGUAGACCCAUGGAUUUUGACACCUUUGGUCUUGAUGGAUUCUGAGAUCCUCUCCAGCUUAAGUUCAAUAAACUUGUGAAAUACAAAAUAAAAUCCCUGUUCUUAAGGAACCUAUGGUCUAGCUCAGUGGUUCUCAAGCUUAGAAUCCAUAACACAUCCAUGGAAAGAUUUCAGGGUGUUCAUGAGCUUGGAUUGGAAAAAAUUAGAUCUUUAUUUAUACUGACCUCUAACUGAAACUUAGCAUUUCCUUCCAUUAUGAAUGCAGGCAACAAACCACAGCAAGUAUUAGAUUUCACCAGACUGCCAAAGGGGUCCAGAACACACAAAAAAGAUAGGAUCCCCCUCAUACAGAUGGGCAGCCACCGCACACAAGAAACACAACCAUUAGUAAACAAUAGAAAGCAGGGCGUCAUCAAAUGCCAAAAUGGACCAGUAAUACGCGUGGUGAGUAUUGAGAGGUAUGCCACAUUGGGUCACUGUGAUUGUGACUGUGUGUGCACCUCACAAUGAGCUGAGGAUAAUGAGGACUGUAAGCACAGGGAGUCCAGAAUGACUGUCAGUGAGCCUUUCAGGGAUGGAAGGUGUCAAGUAAUUAAAAAGUGAUAGCCCUCUGAUCUUACAUUAUAGGCCAGAGGGACAGGGCGGCCCCGGCCUCCAUCCCUCAAAGAAGUGAGUCAGUUCAGCCAACUGUUGGGAACCGAGGUGGCUUUUAGUAGCAAGCACUCCCCAGCUAGCCCUUCUACCCCCAAAGUCCACUGAGGACGAGUGACCUCCCUGGGGCACUGCCCCAGAGGCCCUGAAGCCGCUAAGCCAGGCUCUCUGGACAGGGGCCUUCUUUCAGCCACCUCCCAGUCCGCUCUGGCCUCCCUUCCAAGUCUGGAACCAGGAGUAACUUAGGCAGCCGAGAGAAAACUGCUGGGUCAGCCUCGCCCCAGCCUUGGAGUUUGCGGUCCCAGAGAAGUCACUGGGUAAAUCAGUAACGGACCUUGGAUACCAGCCCAGACCUCCUUAAUCCCAGGGUACUGCUCUCCCAACCAGCUGACUGCCAGCAAGAAUUCCCAGCCCAGAGUCCAAAAUGCAGCCUGUGACCCUCCUGUUGGGCGGAAGGCAAAGCCCCGAGCCUGGGCCGAGGAGGCAGGGCGGGUUCUCCCCCCAGCUUUCCUGGACGUGCUCUUGCCUGGACGAGAUAGGCAAACCCACCUCCAUUACUCAGGGCUAGAGGGAGAACAAGUUAAUUAAAAGGCAAGACCACAAGGCACGGUGGAGACUGUGAGUCUCUGAGACAAGCGGCUGCUCCUGCCAGGAGGAGCUGAUGGACUCUGAAAGCAGGAGAUGCCCGCCCCGUGGCAGGAGGCCUGAGGCUCCCAGGCCCAGAUGGCUGCCGACUCUGCCUCCUCCAAGCCCACCCAAGUCCGGGGGGACGGCAGAAAUGACUGCUGACACUCUGAUAAGGCUAGAAGGUUUCCCAGACCUCCGCAAACAUGCGCUCCCUGGAGCCCCACACAGGUAAGUGCCGUCCAGUGUUAUCCCCAUUUAACAGAAGGCAAGGACAGACUGGGCUGUGUCUGUGGGUCUCACCACCUGUGAGCGUCGCAAGCAACAUUCAAACCCAGGUCUCAACCUGACUCAUUAUUUAACAUUCUUCCCACCGUGCCCUCAUUGGCUCAGAAAGUAUACCCCCACCCCCUCCCACUGUAUAUGUGGAGGGGUCCGUUAGUUUGGAACAAGGCAUAUGAAAUCCACAUUUUUCCAAUGCAUUAUUGAUUGAUGUAGUUGGUUUUUUCCUCUUUUUUUCUAAAAAAAAUUGUUCUAAGGGAUAGCACUCUGAAAUGGGGAAAGGGAUAAAUGCAGAGCGAAAUCUAGGCAAUGUAAAAACAAAAGAUAUUAGUAAAAAUCAACUUAAAAAAAAAAAGCAGAUUUGUCUUUCAGGCAUGUCAAUUAAUCAACAAAUGGGUAUUAAGCAUCUACCUUGUCCAAGGUGCUGUUUUGGGUUUUAGGGAGGAAAGAGAUGAACUUGUGAUUUCAUGGGUACAAGGAAGUCCCAAGUAAAGAUAUUCCAAAUCAAUAUAGCCUGGCAUAAAACUCACCUGAAACAUGAGUCACUAAACUAUACUUAAGAUCCCAGUUAGCUGCAUAGUGGCUUAGAAAACCACAAGUUAACAUUACCUAUGUCCUAAUGCAGUUUUACUUAUUUUGCUGUCUCCCAAUUCUUUUUUAAUCCAGCUCAGGCUGCACCCUUUAAACAUGUGGGGCCUAGAGAAGAAGCUAAGUGACUUGUUCAUGCAAAUAGGAUGUACCAACUCUUUAGCAAGUGUGCACCUGGAUUCUCUGUGGAAGGCACUUUAAAAACCAAUUCUAAUCAUCAACGAAUCUAGAGCAAGCAUCAGUCAGUCAACUGAUUAGCAAACAUUUACUAAAUGCCUAUUCUGUGCCAGGAACUGUGCUGUGUGCUAAGGACACAAAGAGAAAAAUGAACCAGUCUCCCUUCUCAAAGAACACAAGGGACCUACCCAAGAAAAAUUAAAUAUCAACGUAAAGUUAUAAGAUAAUCCAUCAUCCGCUGAGCAGGAGAGGCACUAAGGGCCAUACUGGGCAAGGAGGAUGGUGAAAGGACUGGAAAUCAAGCCACAUGAAGAUCAGCCAGAAAAACCGAAGCCAAUGAACCGAGAGGAGAGAAAGCUUGGGUGGGACGGACAUUACAGCAACUUUUCUAGUAGUUAAAGGGUUAUUACAAUGCAACUUGGGCUUGGGGCAGCUAGGCGGCUCAGUGGACAAAAAGACCAGAGUCAGGAAGACUUCUUCAUGAGGUGAAAUCCAGCCCCAGACAUGUACUAGGUGGGUGGCCCUGGCCAAGUUACUUCCUCAGUUUGCCUCAGUUUGCUCAUCUGUAAAAUGAGCUGGAGAAGAAAUGGCAAGUUAUUCCAGUGUCUUUGCCAAGAAAACCCCCAAUGGGGUCACAAGAAGGCAGAUACAACUGAACAAUAACAUAUGUGGGUGAGGCUUGUUCUGCUUGUUGGUAGAAGGCAGAACUAAGUGACAAGUAGAUGUUGGAGAUUUAGGCCCAAUGUAAGGAAACCAUUCCUAACCAUUUAAUUCCUAACCAUUAAUUGACUGAGUGAGUCAAGAGCAUUAUUAAUGACUUAUUUUGUACUGAAGAUACAAAGGAAAAAAAAUCAAGGUACCUGCCCUGGAGGAAUACAUUCUAAUGGGAAAACUAUGUAAAUGAUGAGUUACAUUCUAGAUAUACAGAGUAGAUGAAUGGUCACCUUCCUGGGAAGGGAGUAGCAAUGGGGGUGGGGGUGGAAAGCAGAUGGAGGGGGGAGGGGUUGGAAAAGGCCUCCUUCAGAAGGUGGGAUUUGAACUGAAAGAAGCCAAGAGGCUGAUGAGAAGGUUCUCUUUCUGGAAUUCUGCAUUCUGGACUUGGAAAAAACAAUCAGUAAAAAGAAUCAUCCCAUAAUUUCAUGUGUAUUCAUCUUGUCCCCGCUCCUAUUCUACUGGUUUGUAGAAUAUUUGUAUUAUUUAAGUUCAGAAUAAAAUAAAGUAAAAUAAAAAACAAAGUACAACCUGCUACAUUGGAAGGUAGCCAAGCAAAGCUGAUGAAAACUACCUAUGUAGACAUCAUGGAGGAGAUCAAUGUUUAGAUAUAUUUUGGAUUAAGUGUUUUUGUUUCAACUCUGAGAAGAGAUCACUUCCAAUGUAUAUUUGAAAGACAGAGAGAGGUAAUUUCACUAAGCUGGACGAGGAAAAUUUCAUCAAGAAAGUAUGUUAUGAAAACCAAGUAUCAAAGGGUAACUAGCUGAGUGGGGAAAAAUUAACAUCAGCCAAUUUGGAAACAACCACCAGGUCAAGAAAUUAGGCCUAUUAUCCAAUUUUUCCAAUUUUCUAUACACACACACACUAUAAACCCUAUAUAACUUGGCAGAAGUUCUGAGAACUGUUGUGGCUAAAAAUUUUAGCACCAGCCAACCUGGGCCUCGACCUAGCAAAAGUAGGUCCUGGCUGUCACUACGAUUUUAGGGGAGUCUUUUACAUGGGGUAGGGUCUGCCAGAGUCAAAAUUGGACAACUAAAGGAAGGAAGGAAUUUUUUUAAAAGCAUGUAUUUACUCCGUUCAAAGCCCUUUGUUAGGCAUUGAAGAACCUGUGGAGGAGCAGGACGGUCCCUGCUUUCACGAAGCUCACAUUUUAAUGGGAAAGACAACACAUGAAGGAGAUUUCCGCUGUAACCCAAAUGGAAAGGUCCCAUGGUCUUUUGGGUGAAGCGAGAAGGCAGGGAAAUUCCAUUAAAACAUGAUCAUGACCUGGGGAGAAUGGAGAGUUAUCAGAGCUGCCUCCAAGUACUGGAAACACUGUCCAUCCUGUGGAAAGGGGGUUGGACUUGUUCUUCUUGGCCCCAGAAGGCAGAAUCAGGAGCGCUGUGGUUGGCGGGUGAAGAGAGGAAAGCUCAGACCUAACCUGUCCGGGAAAGUUCCUGACCAUGAGCAGUCCCUAAGUGCUAUGCCUUGCUUACUGGAUUCCUCUCGCUAGAGAUCUGCAAACAGAAAUGAUGUUAUAAGUUCAGAGAGCAAGAGUUAGAAUCCGAGGGCAUCUAAUCCAAUUUAUAGAUGAGCAAACUGAGGUCCAGGAAAGUUAAGUAAUCUUCCCAACAUCUUCCAGGUAGGAUUCAAACCCCUGUUUCUUAACUACUAAAGGGCUCUUUGCAUUGAAUCACAAUUCCCUCCUGAUGUUUACUUGUCAGAAAUGCUCGACCCUAGAUUCUUAUUCAAGUUGAGGGCUAGAGCAAAGCUUCUAAACUGUGGGCUGUGUAACUUAAUGUGAGAGUGGAGAGAUUAUGAUCUAUCAUCAGUAAAUAUUUGAUUUGUACACCUAUUUUAUAUACUUAUAUACCCAGAGUUAUGGGAAAAACAUUUCUCACGUGAAAACGGACUGGGAGUAGAAAAAGUUGAAGGAAUCCUGUUCUACAGGACCCCUGAGGAUCCUUUUAGUUCCAGAAUUGGAGCUUCUAUGAUCAUACCUGUCUCCUGGCCUAACUAUACUAUCUACAAAUGGUCCCCAAGAGCAAAUUUCAAACCCAAAGGAAAAAUGAAAAUGACUUGAAAGUUCCUUCCUUUCCCACCCCCUUUUCCUGCCCCUUGCCCUAGUAUGCCCUGAAUAGUCCCGUGGGCACUCCCAGAAUACAAACCGGGGCCAGGUGUGGACAAGAUGUUCUGUUGUUUGGCCCGUUUUAGCACUGUUCGCAUAUUUUAAGAAUAGCAGGAAGGUAAUAUUUACUGAAAAGAAUUCUACAUACCAUUUAACUAAAUGGCUCUAUAGCUGGGAGAUCUAUAGACUGGAAGCAUUAUGAUUCAAGGACUCUCAAUUAUAGUGAUCUUAUUUUAUUGUAUAAAAACACCAACAGAGCUGGCCAUUCUCCCUCCCUCCUCCACAACCUAGCCAACUUCAGGUGUUUCUACUAGUGCAGUUCUCAGGACUCUGGAGACGGCUUCAAAACAGGGAAGCAAGAAAAAAGUUAAAUGUCACCCUAAGAAACUAUUCUUCUAUCUACUUAGAGACAGCAUGGUGCCAUGUGAAGAGUGCUAGAUUUUAAGUCAAAGGAUCCGAAUUCAAAUUCCAAGUUUCCCAUUUACUUUGGACAAUCAUUGAAAUCAAAGCUUCUUAAACUGUGGGUGACCCCAUAUAGGAUUGCAUAACUGAAUGUGGAGGUUGUGGAAAACUUGGCCACAGUAAAAAGGUAUCAAAUAUUCUGCCAAGAUUUAAUCCUUAUGUAAAAAUAAACAAGCACAUUCAUUAAUAUGCAAAUUUCAUUUCUUUUUUUAAUAAAUGUUAAAAUUAUUUGUGUAACAAAAACUUAUUUUAAAAUAAAUUUUUUUAUGAUUAUCAGUAAAUGUUUGGUUUGCAGACCUAUUUUCAAUACCUAUAUACCUAGGGUGGCUCAAAAAUUUCUUGGGUAAAAAAGAACACAAGUGGAAAAAGUUUAAGAAGUCCUGUUUUAAAUAAUAUAAGCUAGCACUUUUUUAGGGUUUCAAGGUUUGCAAAAUGCUUCAAAAAUUAUCUCAUUGUAUCUUUAUGACAUCCUCUGGCAGGUAUUUACUAUAACAACAACUAAUAUUUAUAGAGCCUUUACUGUGUGCCAGACAUUGUUAAAUGCUUUACAAUCAUUAUUUCAUUUGUUCCUUACAACAAGUCUGUAUGAUAGGUGCUAUUAUGAUGCCCAUUUAACAAGUGAGGAUACCAGGCAGACAGCAGUUAACAAGCCCUUGGUGCAGAAUUUGAAAUCAGGUCUUAUGGACUUCAGGCCCAAGCAUCCAUCUGCCUGAGCCAUUAACAAAUCUAUUCCUCUUCCCUCAUCUAUAACAUGAGAGGUUGGAAUAGGUAGCUUUCUAAGUUCCAUGCUAGUUAAUCUAUGAUCCUCUAAUAUCAUGGAUAUUUAAAUAUUUAAUAUUUAAAUUUAAGCUUAGGACUCAGCAGGAAGGAACUUUAUAGAGUUUACCUCAAACCCUUCAUUUUACAGAAAAGGAAACAGAGGCCCAGGGAAGGUAAGUGAUUUUUACUUUCCCAAGUCACAUAGCUACAUAAGGAGCAAAGGAUUCGCUAGUUCAAUGUUCUUUCCCCUGCCCCACUGGCCUAUUAGACUUGUAGGCAAGGCCAUAAGCCAGGCUUCUUUAAAAGUAUGUUUUUAAAAAUUCUGCUUCUUUCUGAUCCAUUUCUCUUAGGUUACAAUGGGAAUGUCAGUUUGGAGAGAAUGCUGAAUGCACAACAGCAAAGCAGGGUCUCUAUUGCACUCCUAACAUGGAUGGGGGGAGCCAGGCUGUAACAAGAGGGGGCUAAGUGCAGGUAACAUCCCUGGGUGGGCAGAGGAGAAAGUGUCAGUGAGAUACAGGGGCAUGUUUUUCUUUAACCUCUGAAACACUGAUCUGAACAAACUCCUGUCCUCAAUACAAAUAUAUUAUAUUAUACAUUAUAUAGUUAUCUGUAUGAUAAAUAUAAAGAUUUACCAAAAAUAGGUUUCUCCAACCGUUACCAAGUCCAGAGUUAUACUAGCACACCAAGGACCUGAACUUCAGUGUUCAACUGUAAUUCCCACGAUCCUUGCAGCCUUAUCCCACCACCAGAGCCAUAACUAAUGGGGGGCAAAUGGUGCUUUGUCCCGAGAACGGACAUGAGGUGAUGAGGUAUGUGACAGUCACGAAACGUCCCAACCUGCUGCUGUCAGGAUCUCAUCACUACAGAAGCCUUCUCAUGGGGGCCUACUUUCUUUUCCAACCCCCGCAGGAACAAGGCCCAAGCUCUUUGAAGAACAAUUUGAUAUUACAUCCAACUAUAUUUGCCCUAGGUACUUGUAAUACUAGUUCUGAAUUUGCUCCCUGCUAUAGCCUACCUUCCGACCAAACUGCCCUUUCCCCUGCAGGUUCCCUACCUUAAGUCAGGAAUACUUCCUGAAUUCAAAUCUGGCCUCAGACUCUUACUAGCUUUGUGAUCCUGUACAAGAUGCUUAACCCUGUUUGCCUCAGUUUCCGCAUCUAUAAAAUGAGCUGAAGAAAGAAAUGGCAAACUACCAAGAAGUCAACAACUGCAAACAACAAUCUCUUAUCUUUGUGCUGUUUACCUGCGAAACUUCCUAUUUCUACCAUGUCCUUUUUCUUCCUUUUCACCAAUUCAAUUCUCACUUCAUUCUUUAAGACAGGACUUUUUAAACUUUUCCCAUUUGUGACCCUUUUUCAACUAAGAAAUUUUUAUGUGACCCCAGAUAUAUAGGAAUUAUAAAAUAGGAAUACAAGUCAAACAUUUAGCGAUAAUAGGUCAUAAAGAAAUUUAUUUUAAAACAAUUCUUUAGUACACAUAUAAUUCUGCCAUUUAUUAAAGAUGAAAGCAAAUUUGCAUUCAAAUGAGAUGGAUGUGCUUGUUUAUUUUUACCUAAAGAAUUAAAUCUUGGUGGAUUUUUGAUGCCCUUCACCAUAGCUAAUUUUUUUUGACAUCCACUUUAAGAAGAUUUGCAUUAAAGAGCAAUUUUAAUGCUGCCCAUUCCAGAAGACUUUCUCUGAAACACUGUAUAAUCCUACUCUUUAAUAAACUAGACCUAAGCACACAAA